rnacentral:rRNA from 1 species
CUAGUUGGUAGGGUAGUGGCCUACCAAAGUGGUAACGGGUAACGGGGAAUCAGGGUUUGAUUCCGGAGAGGGAGCCUUAGAAACGGCUACCACGUCCAAGGAAGGCAGCAGGCGCGCAAAUUACCCACUCUAGAUACUGGGAGGUAGUGACGAGAAAUAAUGGGGGCACCCUAAAAGGGGGCCGUCUGUAAUGAACGAAACACAAAAGCGUCGGUGAGGACCCACUGGAGGGCAAGUCUGGUGCCAGCAGCCGCGGUAAUUCCAGCUCCAGUAGUGUAUAUCAACAUUGUUGCGCUUAAAACGCUCGUAGUUGGGUUAGAGUGUUUAAGCAGGCCCGGUGUCAUGGACAUGGGGUAGGUUGGAAAGGUUUUUGCCCACUUGUGAGCGUCAACCAUAUGAAAACACAUGAACUAUCGUGUAUUUGGGGGGUUUUGAUUAACAAAACAGGUAACACGGUAAAAUGUGCCUUGAAUAAAGCAUAAUGCUAAAAGUAAGCGACGAAAGCUGGAGUGUAAUAGCAUGGAACGAAUAGUGGCCAAGGGUGCGAUGGUGCCCGUCUCCUUGAAAAAGAGAGGUCUAAAUGACCUAGAGGAAAGUUUGCGGGCACUGGUACUUUGGGGCGAGAGGUGAAAUUCUUAGACCCCCAAAAGACGGACUACUGCGAAGGCAUUUGCCAAAGAUGUUUCCGCUAAUCAAGAACGAAGGUCAGAGGAUCGAAGACGAUCAGAUACCGUCCUAGUUUUGACAGAAAACUCUGCCGGCGUAGGUGGGCAGCGAUCACCCUUGAAGGGUAGAAUCACUGCGGACCUUGGGGGAAACCUGAGCUUUCGGGCUGCUGGGAGAAUAUCGCUGCAAGGCUGAAAUUUAAAGAAAUUGACGGAGAGGCACCACCAGGAGUGGAGCUUGCGGCUUAAUUUGACUCAACACGGGGAAACUCACCGGGUCCAGACAUUGGAAGGAUUGACAGAAUGGUGGAUCUUUCAUGAUUCAGUGAAUGGUGGUGCAUG